rnacentral:rRNA from 1 species
GGCCUUUUGAUGAUAAUUUAAGGUCUAACCUGCCCAAUGAUAUAGUAUUAAAUGGCCGCGGUAUCUUGACCGUGCAAAGGUAGCAUAAUCAUUAGUUUUUUAAUUGAAAGCUUGUAUGAAAGGUUUAAUGAAAAAAUAGCUGUCUCUAUUUAAAUUUUUUAGAAAUUUAUUUUUAAGUUAAAAAGCUUAAAUAAAUAUUAAAGACGAGAAGACCCUAUAGAGUUUUAUAGUUUUAUAGAGUUAUUAUAUUUUAGAAUUUUUUAAUGAUUUUUUAAGAUUAUUUGGUUGGGGUGAUUGAAAAAUUAGUAAAACUUUUUUAUAUUAAAUUUCACUGAUUUGUGAGUUUUUGAUCUUUAUUAAAGAUUAAUAGAUAAAAUUACCUUAGGGAUAACAGCGUAAUUUUUUUUAGAGUUCUUAUCGAAGAAAAAGAUUGCGACCUCGAUGUUGGAUUAAAAUAAGUUGCUGGUGUAGAAGCUGGCAAGCCAGGUCUGUUCGACCUUUAGAUUUUUACAUGAUCUGAGUUUAAACCGGUGUGAG